CUCCCUAGAUAUAUAUUGUAAUCUGUUUACACUUAUUCUACUUUUUUGUGUUUACAUAAUUUUAUUUAUAUUUAUUUUACUAAAUAAUUACUAAUACAUAAAGAAGUAUGUGCAGGAUUUAAUUUCACGACUAAAGAGGACUCCAAAGAAGAAUUAAAGUUCUGGUGGAUCAAAGAUCGAGGAAUGAUUUGGUUUUAACUGGUUUGCAUCUUAUGAACGAAGUACAUAAUAUGAUUUAAAUUGAUGAUUGAUAGUUACACCUAUU